rnacentral:rRNA from 1 species
UACGUAGGUGACCAGCGUUGUCCGGAUUUACUGGGCGUAAAGAGCGCGCAGGCGGUCGUUCAAGUCGAGUGUGAAAGCCCCCGGCUCAACUGGGGAGGGUCACUCGAUACUGAUCGACUUGAAGGCAGGAGAGGGAAGCGGAAUUCCCGGUGUAGUGGUGAAAUGCGUAGAGAUCCGGAGGAACACCAGUGGCGAAGGCGACACGCUGGGCCGUACCUGACACUGAUGCGCGACAGCAUGGGGAGCAAACAGG